rnacentral:rRNA from 19 species
UACGGCGGUUAUGGCGGGAAGGAAACACCCGGUUACAUUCCGAACCCGGAAGUUAAGCUUCUCUGCGCCGAUGGUACUGCACUCGGGAGGGUGUGGGAGAGUAGGUCACCGCCGGAC